AUGACUGGCAAUCAUGGUGGGCGUAGAAGAAAGGCGCCACAACAGGGCCGUCCAGCACGCGACGAUGCCGUGGACAUAUCACAAAGCAACUCCGAUGGACAAGAUGGCGCCGAGGGGUCACAGCCCAAGAGGCGCCUGCAGAGGCUCACCCCCCAGCAAACCCAAGUGCUUGAAGGGUUUUUCGGCAUAUGUGCGCACCCUGACGAGAAUCAAAGGAUGGGGAUGAGCGAGUCGACAGGUCUUACGAUGCAGCAAGUCAAGUUUUGGUUUCAGAACAAGAGGACACAUAUGAAGCAUGUGACUGGAAAAGAAGAGACCUACAGGAUGAAAGCGCAGAAUGAGAUGCUGAGGGAGGAAAACAAGAGGCUUGCAUCGGCAGCUAACACUUCAUUUUGCCCCUCCUGCGUUGCUUUACCAGGACUGAAUCCCUCUGGGGAGGUGCAGACGCUAAGGCAGGAAAAUGAGCAACUGAAGCAACAGCUUUCGCAGCUGCGUGCUGAAGCGCAUCCAAGUUCAAGCCGUCCUUUUCAACUUGACCCAUCCACAGAGAAUAUCACUGGAAGAGAGAAUGACAUGGAUGCGAUUGCUGAACUCGCUCAAAGUGCAAUGCACGAGUUUGUGGUUCUGUCCGAAGCCGGUGGACCUCUGUGGAUGCCUGUCCCUGGUGGUUCCUUCGACGUGCUGAACAAUAUGGCUUAUGCUCAAACAUUUGGCGCAAGAAGCAGUGCAAAUGUAAUACUAGGAUUCAUGACCGAGGCUACUCGUGCUGAUGACAUGGUCAUGAUGGACGCCAAACGGAUUGUGGACUAUAUCAUGGAUUCUGAGUGCUACACAUCUUUCUGUCCUGGACUUGUGACCAGUGCAAAUACCACCAAGGUUUACAAGUGGCCUACUAGUGCAGGCUACAAUGGGGCUAUGCAUUUGGUGACCGUCGAGACGGUGUUCGCAUCACCACUGGUGCCAUCUAGGAAAUGCACAUUCGUGAGGUGCUGCAGGGAUAUGCAAAAUGGGACAGUGAUCAUCGUUGACGUGUCUUUGGACAACGGUGACGGCACCGUCAAAUGCCACAAAAUGCCAUCAGGAGUACUGGUUCGGAGCCUGAAUUCCGACGCCAGCCAGGUCACUGUCAUAGAGCAUGUCCAAGUGAAUGAUACUGGUCUUCACGAGCUCUACCGCCCAACCUUGAGCGGACUGAUGUUCGGAGCUAGGCGCUGGGUGUCGAGCAUCGUGCGACAGAGCGCACGCCUGAGAGACCUCUUCAUUGUCAGCAAAAGCGCCUCGAACGGCAACACAAAUGGGAGGAAGACCCUCAUGAAGAUAGCGGACGGCCUGCUCGCGGACUACGCCAGCGGCAUCGCCGCGGUCCCUGGGAGCGGAUGGACCAUUCUGCGUGGCGCCGGCACGGAAGACGACAUCAGGAUCACGUACAGGAAGAACAACGACGACAGCAACAACGCCGUCGUGUCGGUGUGCGCGUCGUUCCAUCUGCCGGUGCCGCUCAAGGUGACGUUUGAUCUGCUCAGGAACAACCUGUUACGCCCAAAGUGGGAUGUGCUGGUGAACGGUAAUUCGGUGAGGGAGGAAGUCGCUGUUUGCAAAGGCGUAGCAGCAGGAAUUGAUGAUGUUGUCUCCAUACUGCAUCUCAAGGAUCCGCCCACCGGGGAGAACAGGGACAACAUCAUGAUCCUCCAGAACAGCGGCUACGACGUGUCGGGCGCGUUCAUGGUCUACUGCCCAGUCAACAUCCAACUGAUGAACGAGAUCAUGAUCCCUAGCGACACAGCGCAGAGCAACAAGGUGUCCCUCUACCCCACCGGCUUCCACCUCCUCCCCGUCGAGGACACUGCCCUUGGCCUCGGCGAGGGUGGAGCAACUCUUGUGACCGUGGGGUUCCAGAUUAUGCUCAAGCUCGCUCGUGGCACCGGCCUGUAUCCUAGGUCCGCGUCCACGGCCGUCGGUCUGAUGGCAGAAAACAUUGCUACCAUCAAGAAGACUCUGACCAACAGCCACCCCAUCUUCUAUAGGAGGCAGCCCCCCAACAAUCUCAUCUAG
rnacentral:rRNA from 1 species